rnacentral:misc_RNA from 1 species
GCUCCGUAGGUGAACCUGCGGAGGGAUCAUUACAGAGUUCAUGCCCUCACGGGUAGAUCUCCCACCCUGUGUUAUUAUACUUUGUUGCUUUGGCAGGCCGCCCGCGUGGGCUACCGGCUCCAGCUGGUAAGUGCCUGCCAGAGGACCCCAAACUCUGAAUAUUUUAUUGUCUGAGUACUAUAUAAUAGUUUAAAACUUUCAACAACGGAUCUCUUGGUUCUG